AGAGCGAACGCUGGCGGCAGGCUUAACACAUGCAAGUCGAGCGCCCCGCAAGGGGAGCGGCAGACGGGAGAGUAACACGUGGGAACGUACCUUUCGGUUCGGAACAACCCAGGGAAACUUGGGCUAAUACCGGAUACGCCCGCAAGGGGAAAGAUUUAUCGCCGGAAGAUCGGCCCGCGUCUGAUUAGCUAGUUGGUGAGGUAACGGCUCACCAAGGCGACGAUCAGUAGCUGGCCUGAGAGGAUGAUCAGCCUCACUGGGACUGAGACACGGCCCAGACUCCUACGGGAGGCAGCAGUGGGGAAUAUUGGACAAUGGGCGCAAGCCUGAUCCAGCCAUGCCGCGUGGGUGAUGAAGGCCCUAGGGUUGUAAAGCCCUUUCGGCGGGGAAGAUAAUGACGGUACCCGCAGAAGAAGCCCCGGCUAACUUCGCGCCAGCAGCCGC
rnacentral:rRNA from 1 species